UACGUAGGGGGCUAGCGUUGUUCGGAAUCACUGGGCGUAAAGGGCGCGUAGGCGGCUUUUCAAGUCGGGGGUGAAAGCCUGUGGCUCAACCACAGAAUUGCCUUCGAUACUGUUAGGCUUGAGACCGGAAGAGGUGAGUGGAACUGCGAGUGUAGAGGUGAAAUUCGUAGAUAUUCGCAAGAACACCAGUGGCGAAGGCGGCUCACUGGUCCGGAACUGACGCUGAGGUGCGAAAGCGAGGGGAGCGAACAGG
rnacentral:rRNA from 1 species